rnacentral:rRNA from 1 species
AUUGAACGCUGGCGGCAUGCUUUACACAUGCAAGUCGAACGGUAACAGGCCGCAAGGUGCUGACGAGUGGCGAACGGGUGAGUAAUGCAUCGGAACGUGCCCAGUCGUGGGGGAUAACGCAGCGAAAGCUGUGCUAAUACCGCAUACGAUAUAUGGAUGAAAGAGGGGGACCGUAAGGCCUCGCGCGAGUGGAGCGGCCGAUGUCAGAUUCGGUAGUUGGUGGGGUAAAGGCUCACCAAGCCAACGAUCUGUAGCUGGUCUGAGAGGACGAACAGCCACAAUGGGACUGAGACACGGCCCAGACUCCUACGGGAGGCAGCAGUGGGGAAUUUGGGACAAUGGGCGCAAGCCUGAUCCAGCAAUGCCGCGUGCAGGAAGGAGGCCUUCGGGUUGUAAACUGCUUUUGUACGGAGCGAAAAGGUUUGGGUUAAUACCCUGGGCCGAUGACGGUACCGUAAGAAUAAGCACCGGCUAACUACGUGCCAGCCGCCGCCGUAA